GACGAACGCUGGCGGCGUGCUUAACACAUGCAAGUCGAACGGAAAGGCCCUGCUUUUGUGGGGUGCUCGAGUGGCGAACGGGUGAGUAACACGUGAGUAACCUGCCCUUGACUUUGGGAUAACUUCAGGAAACUGGGGCUAAUACCGGAUAGGAGCUCCUGCUGCAUGGUGGGGGUUGGAAAGUUUCGGCGGUUGGGGAUGGACUCGCGGCUUAUCAGCUUGUUGGUGGGGUAGUGGCUUACCAAGGCCUUGACGGGUAGCCGGCCUGUGAGGGUGACCGGCCACAUUGGGACUGAGAUACGGCCCAGACUCCUACGGGAGGCAGCAGUGGGGAAUAUUGCACAAUGGGCGGAAGCCUGAUGCAGCAACGCCGCGUGCGGGAUGACGGCCUUCGGGUUGUAAACCGCUUUCGCCUGUGACGAAGCGUGAGUGACGGUAAUGGGUAAAGAAGCACCGGCUAACUACGUG
rnacentral:rRNA from 1 species